rnacentral:lncRNA from 1 species
GAGCUUGUCUCCUCUUUAUAUCUGUAACUGACAUUUCUCUAGAAAGGCUACAUCCUAUUCAAAGGGCUGAGAAAUGACAGAGGUGAACUUCAUUAUUAAGUUACCUUCUAAUAUGACUUGGUAGUUAAAGUAGAACUUUGGUGUCAGUAAAUAAGUGGAAUAGGCCCCAGAGUUAUAUGGACACAUUGCCUGCGAAUAAUACAUGCUCAAUGUUGUUUCUAUUGUGCUUUUUUGUGUACACGUUUAUGGGAUGCUCUAGAAUGCAGUGACUUAUGAGGACCUGCAUGUGAACUUCACUCAAGAGGAGUGGGCUCUGCUGGAUCCUUCUCAGAAGAAGCUCUACAAAGAUGUCAUGUUGGAGACCUACAGGAACCUCAAUGCUAUAGGAUUUAAUUGGGACGACAAAAAUAUUCAAGAACAUUGUCCAAUUUCUAGAAGACACAGAAGGCAUGAAAGAAGUCCGAGUGCAGAGAAAGCGUCUGAAUAUACUCAAUGUGAUAAAGUCUUUUUUUUAUGCUCACAGUCAUGCUCAAAGGCAUGAAAGAAUUCAUACAGAAAUGAACCCCCUUGGAAUUAUUCAAUUUGUUGAAGCCUUUGCUCAACAUCGUCUCCAGCUUCAUAAAAG